rnacentral:rRNA from 1 species
AUGUGUGUACCAAAGAAGAAAGGGGGCUUGGGGUUUAGAGACCUUCACUGUUUCAACCUUGCUAUGUUAGCAAAACAGUGCUGGCAACUAAUCCAGAACCCGGACUCCUUAUGUGCACGUGUACUGAGUGCAAAAUACUACCCCAAUGGAAAUAUUUUGGGCAUGACCAAAGGGGGAUCGUCAUUUACUUGGCAGAGUAUCUGUGCAGGUAUUCAAACCUUCCAAAGGGGGUGCAUUUGGCGUGUGGGAUCAGGAGCACAAAUAAAUAUAUGGCACGACCCUUGGAUUCCAUCGAGUCCUUCAAGGAAAGUAAUCACCCGGAGAGGUGCAGCGAUGCUAACGUAUGUGGAAGAACUUAUUCAUCCACAUUCUGGCAGGUGGGAUGAAGUUUUGAUCAGAGAUGUGUUUUCACCGGUGGACGCUUAUAGGAUUCUACAGAUUCCUUUAAACAUUCAGUUAAUGGAGGACUUCGUAGCUUGGAAUUGCACAUGAUCAGGGACCUUUUCAGUCCGAUCGGCAUACCAUAGGGAAUUUGAACAUCAAUACGGUUAGCGGCUUGUUCGUCCAGAUGGACAAAGGAACACACAAAUUAAUACAAUCUGGAAGGAGGUAUGGAAACUUAAACUCCCAGGGAAGAUCAAACAUUUUGCAUGGAAGGCUCUCAAUGGAUCACUACCCUGUCUUGGGAUAUUAGCAAAUAGACACAUACCACUUGUUCCCCAAUGUCCAUUCUGUGCAGUGGGGAUCGAGGACAUUCAACAUCUUUUGUUCACUUGCAAGAGGGCGAAGGAGGUGUGGUCAGAAUUGAAGCUACGGAACAUUAUCGCAGAAGCAACCGAGCAGGAUAGGUCGGGUUCAAUCACUGUAGAAAUCUUGUGCCGCAAUAACUCUGUUACAGAGGGGCUACCAACGGCAGAGCUCAUAGUAGUGGCCACCUGGUUUCUUUGGUGGCAGCGCCGCCAACAUGUCAAGGGGGGAGGCGAUCGAGACCCCUGA